GCGCGUGCGCGCGCGAGCGUGUGCUGCUACAGCCCUCCAGAGGCGGCCCUCCGGGAGCCGCUCGGCGCCCGCACCGGCUUUCACUCCUGCGAGGAGCUGCCCGUACCCACCCCGGCCCAAGCUGCAGCCCGGGAGUGAAUGAACUUGAUUUCAGGUCUUUUGAGGGAAGCAAUUUGCCUUGCACCCUUUCUCCCCCCACUACGCGCACACACACACUCACACCCCGCCCCCAAAAUUCCGGUUUUCUGCAAGGGGUGGGUGGAGAAACCUUAGAAGCAAAGCCUGCCCAGACAAUGGAGAGAGGAAAAAAACGAUUUCCUUUUGCCACCAAAACUAGAUUGCCUCCAAAAGUUUUUCACAAGCCUAAAAAUGAAAAACGAAAAAUUGACGACCAUUACACAGAAGAGCCCACAAAGCUGCAGCAGCACCAAGGCGAAGCAGCAGCGUCAGACCCAGAUGAGGAAACUGAGACACAGAGGAGGGACUUGACCAACUCAAGAGUCUACAGUGAACAGAAAUCAGAGUCUGCACCAGCCCCAGUUGUCUUGAUUUAAAUUCUGUUUGUUCACAUUUUUUGAGGCAGAUGUGAUGACUAAUAAUAAACUACUGUUUACUGAGUAUCAAUGGUGUACCAGGCCCUUUACAUCAGUCAUUAUCACAGCAGCUCAAAAAAGAGACAUUUUAAAAAUAAAAUUCUAAAAGUAGUAUAUGUAUAAAAACUUCAAACAAUACACAACGGCAAAAAAUGAAAGUAAAAUUCUCCUACUCUACUCUUUCUUCCAGAAUAAUGUUUAUAUAUUGUGUUCCUUUUGCAGUGCUCUCCAUACCUGAUAGACACUAUCAUUAUUUUAUGAAUGAGAAGGGAGGCUC
rnacentral:lncRNA from 1 species